rnacentral:ncRNA from 1 species
AGCUGAAAAAGGCAAACCCAUCGCGAGGUGGGGACGCAAAGCUUCCGGUCUUGGAAUUAAAGAUAGCGGAGUUACCAGA